rnacentral:rRNA from 1 species
CGCAUCUGUGCAUGCAGCAUAUCAAUAAGCGGAGGAAAAGAAACUAACAAGGAUUCCCUUAGUAACGGCGAGUGAAGCGGGAAGAGCUCAAAUUUGAAAUCUUCAAGGUUUUACCUUGACGAAUUGUAGUUUAAAGAAGUGUUUUCUGUUGAAGUUUUGGUAAAAGUUCUUUGGAAUAGGACAUCAUAGAGGGUGAGAAUCCCGUAUUUGACCAUUAUUCUCAGCUGUGUGAUACACUUUCAAAGAGUCGGAUUGUUUGGGAAUGCAGUCCAAAAUGGGUGGUAAAUUUCAUCUAAAGCUAAAUAUUGGCGAGAGACCGAUAGCGAACAAGUACCGUGAGGGAAAGAUGAAAAGAACUUUGAAAAGAGAGUUAAACAGUACGUGAAAUUGUCAAAAGGGAAGCGUUUGACACCAGUGUUGUUUUCUCGAAAAUCAAUUAAAAAGAGUUAGAUUUUGUUGUGUAUUGACCUUAACAGCUUGCAUUUCAAUUUUCUUGCUUUUUUUAAUGCACUUUUCGUUUAACAAGUCAACAUCAGUUUCUUUUGUUGUAAAAAGGUCAUUGGAAGGUGGCUUUCUUUUCGGAGAAAGUGUUUAUAGCCUUUGACUCCUGCAAUCGGAGAGACUGAGGUCUGCAGCGUAGAUCCUUCGGGGUUAGAUACAUUUGUGCUAAGUUAUAGCUUUUUAUAGACAACUUGUUGACUAUGAUUAGUCUUGUAGCUUACUCGCUUAUGCUAUUUUACCUACGCUUAGGAUGUUGACACACGCGCGUGCUCG